rnacentral:rRNA from 2 species
AGACCCGAAACCCGGUGAUCUAGCCAUGGGCAGGUUGAAGGUUGGGUAACACUAACUGGAGGACCGAACCGACUAAUGUUGAAAAAUUAGCGGAUGACCUGUGGCUGGGGGUGAAAGGCCAAUCAAACCGGGAGAUAGCUGGUUCUCCCCGAAAGCUAUUUAGGUAGCGCCUCGUGAAUUCAUCUCCGGGGGUAGAGCACUGUUUCGGCUAGGGGGCCAUCCCGGCUUACCAACCCGAUGCAAACUGCGAAUACCGGAGAAUGUUAUCACGGGAGACACACGGCGGGUGCUAACGUCCGUCGUGAAGAGGGAAACAACCCAGACCGCCAGCUAAGGUCCCAAAGUCAUGGUUAAGUGGGAAACGAUGUGGGAAGGCCCAGACAGCCAGGAUGUUGGCUUAGAAGCAGCCAUCAUUUAAAGAAAGCGUAAUAGCUCACUGGUCGAGUCGGCCUGCGCGGAAGAUGUAACGGGGCUAAACCAUGCACCGAAGCUGCGGCAGCGAACGUAUCACUUAAAGCGAUUCAGCGGGUUACGAUUGACGGAGCGAAGCGACGUCAAAGCGUAUACAAAGUCGAGUCGGUUUAAGGAUACGUUCGUUG